UUGUUAUAUAACCCUUUAUUGGCCACUUUAUUCUGCUUUUUGGCAAAUUUUGAUUCCUGAAUGUCAAUUGAAAUUGGAAGAAUUGCCAAAACAAAGAUUUAUAUGCUGUGAGAUGCACUUCUAAAAUGUGCCAUUUUACUACUUAAAGUGGUGAAUCCCAUUGGGAGUUGAUAAGCCAGAGUUUUACACAGUACCUGUAUCUAAUUAGGUAAAUACAGGUAAUAAACACUCAGGUAAUAGUUUAUGGUGUGUCUAAUUACCAGAUAAAUGAAUUUAACUUAGUUUUACUGCAUGUAAUAACAAAUUAAUUGAAAGUUACACAGGGAAUCAAAAGACUUGUAAAUGUGCUUGUUAAAUAAAACUUUAGAAUUUCUCUGUGUGUGGUACAUUGCCUGAAUCUGAAAAUUGACAAAUGUUGGUCAAUAUAUGCCUGAAGCAAAUAAUUCAAUGCUAUCUAAAUGAUUUCCAUUUAUUACAUAAUUACAAAAAAAUGGUGCUCUAUGUAUGUACAUGAUGUACCUUAGUACAUGUAUUGCAAAUGAAGAAGCCAAAGGUUUCAAAACAUUGCGGUGAGCUUCUUCGAAUUUACA
rnacentral:lncRNA from 1 species